GAUUUCUGGUCUGGUGCGCCUGGCCCGCCGCAUUAGCGUGUGAGUGCCGGGUCGCGCCUGCCAUCCUUCUAGAAAACGUAUCUACCCUUCACUGGGCCGGAUACGCGAUCUAGAUCUUUUACUUUGAAAAAAUUAGAGUGUUUAAAGCAGGCAUUUGCUAUGAAUACAUUAGCAUGGAAUAAUAAUUUAGGACUUCGGUUCUAUUUUGUUGGUUUCUAGGACUGAAGUAAUGAUUGAUAGGGAUAGUUGGGGGUGCUAGUAUUCAGCGGCCAGAGGUGAAAUUCUCGGAUUCGCUGAAGACUAACUUAUGCGAAAGCAUU
rnacentral:rRNA from 1 species